rnacentral:rRNA from 1 species
UGAGGAAUCUUCCACAAUGGGCGAAAGCCUGAUGGAGCAACGCCGCGUGCAGGAUGAAGGCCUUCGGGUCGUAAACUGCUUUUAUUUGUGAAGAAUAUGACGGUAACAAAUGAAUAAGGAUCGGCUAACUACGUGCCAGCAGCCGCGGUCAUACGUAGGAUCCAAGCGUUAUCCGGAGUGACUGGGCGUAAAGAGUUGCGUAGGUGGUUAUAUAAGUGAAUAGUGAAAUCUGGCGGCUCAACCGUACAGGCUAUUAUUCAAACUGUAUAACUCGAGAAUGGUAGAGGUAACUGGAAUUUCUUGUGUAGGAGUGAAAUCCGUAGAUAUAAGAAGGAACACCAAUGGCGUAGGCAGGUUACUGGACCAUUUCUGACACUGAGGCACGAAAGCGUGGGGAGCG